rnacentral:rRNA from 1 species
UACGGAGGGGGGCUAGCGUUGUUCGGAAUUACUGGGCGUAAAGCGCACGUAGGCGGCUUUGCAAGUUAGAGGUGAAAGCCCGGGGCUCAACCCCGGAAUUGCCUUUAAAACUGCAUCGCUAGAAUUGUGGAGAGGUAAGUGGAAUUCCGAGUGUAGAGGUGAAAUUCGUAGAUAUUCGGAAGAACACCAGUGGCGAAGGCGACUUACUGGACACAUAUUGACGCCGAGGUGCGAAAGCGUGGGGAGCAAACAGG